rnacentral:rRNA from 1 species
GACGAACGCUGGCGGCGUGCUUAACACAUGCAAGUCGAACGGAAAGGCCCAGCUUGCUGGGUGCUCGAGUGGCGAACGGGUGAGUAACACGUGGGUGAUCUGCCUCUAACUUCGGGAUAAGCUUGGGAAACUGGGUCUAAUACCGGAUAGGACAAUCGUUUAGUGUCGGUUGUGGAAAGUUUUUUCGGUUAGGGAUGAGCCCGCGGCCUAUCAGCUUGUUGGUGGGGUAAUGGCCUACCAAGGCGUCGACGGGUAGCCGGCCUGAGAGGGUGGACGGCCACAUUGGGACUGAGAUACGGCCCAGACUCCUACGGGAGGCAGCAGUGGGGAAUAUUGCACAAUGGGCGCAAGCCUGAUGCAGCGGCGCCGCGUGGGGGAUGACGGCCUUCGGGUUGUAAACCUCUUUCGACAGGGACGAAGCUUUGGUGACGGUACCUGUAUAGGAAGCACCGGCUAACUACGUG